rnacentral:rRNA from 1 species
UGAGGGAAAGUUGCAAAGAACUUUGAAGAGAGAGUUCAAGAGUACGUGAAACUGCUCAGAGGUAAACGGGUGGGCCCUCGAAAUCCUCUCGCUGGGGGAUUCAGUCUGGGAGUGCGGAGGCGGUGUCGGAAUCUGACCCACAAAAGGCAGUUGCGGCAUCGCGGUCUCUGCGCCUCCAGACGCACUUCCUCCGGCGCUACGGACGCCGCAGCCGAUCGGGUAGCUGCGAGAGUCGGCCGUGAGGUCGGACGCCGGCAGGUGGCAGGAGAGUUCGCUCUYGUUGGCUCCCCUGUUGUUAGCCAGUCCGACCGUGGCGCGACACCCGAUCGUGGUGAAGGUUCCCUUCUCGGGAACUGGCCGUCCCCUAUCCAGCGUGCACGGCGGCAGGCGUGUUCUUGCGCCGUCGAGUCACUCCCCGUAGUGGCCGACGCGUCGGAGCCGUCGUUGGCUGUCGCUGUCUCGCAGGGGGCAUGCGGCUGGCGGCGAGUAGGUCGGUCACCCACCCGACCCGUCUUGAAACACGGACCAAGGAGUCUAACAUGUGCGCGAGUCACCGGGUCUUGAAUAGGCCCGCGGGCGCAAUGAAAGUGAAGGCUGUUUCCGACAGCCGUGUUGGGACUCUGGCGAAUAGCUGGAAGCACCAACGACCCGUCCCUUCGGGCACUGCUCGUGGGGCGGAGUCCGAGCGUACACGUUGGGACCCGAAAGAUGGUGAACUAUGCCUGGGCAGGACGAAGCCAGAGGAAACUCUGGUGGAGGUCCGCAGCGGUUCUGACGUGCAAUCGAUCGUCAGACCGGG